UGUAAGCGUAUACCAAAGUUGUUGCAGUUAAAACGCUCGUAGUCGGAAUUUGGCAGUUCCGGAUGUGUGCACGUCGUGUGCGCACUUCGCGGGGAUUGCUUUUGUGGUCUUGCGUAGGAUGAGGCACUUUUAUUAGUGAACGUCCUCACGCAACCACUUUUUACUGUGAGAAAAUCAGAGUGCUCAAAGCAGGCAUUUGCCGUGAAUGUAUUAGCAUGGAAUAAUAGAAUAGGACUUGGUUCUAUUUUGUUGGUUUGUUGGGACUGAGUAAUGAUUAAGAGGGACAGUUGGGGGCAUUUGUAUUUCGGUGCUAGAGGUGAAAUACUUAGAUUACCGAAAGACAAACUGCUGCGAAAGCGUCUGCCAAGGAUGUUUUCAUUGA
rnacentral:rRNA from 1 species